rnacentral:tRNA from 2 species
GCCUCGAUGGUGAAAUUGGUAGACACACCGGACUUAAAAUCCGUUGACCGCAAGGUCGUGCCGGUUCGAUUCCGGCUCGAGGCACCA